rnacentral:rRNA from 1 species
AACAGGAUUAGAUACCCUGGUAGUCCACGCCGUAAACGAUGUCGACUUGGAGUCUGUUCCCUUGAGGAGUGGCUUCCGGAGCUAACGCGUUAAGUCGACCGCCUGGGGAGUACGGCCGCAAGGUUAAAACUCAAAUGAAUUGACGGGGGCCCGCACAAGCGGUGGAGCAUGUGGUUUAAUUCGAUGCAACGCGAAGAACCUUACCUACUCUUGACAUCCAGAGAAUUUAGCAGAGAUGCUUUAGUGCCUUCGGGAACUCUGAGACAGGUGCUGCAUGGCUGUCGUCAGCUCGUGUUGUGAAAUGUUGGGUUAAGUCCCGCAACGAGCGCAACCCUUAUCCUUUGUUGCCAGCACGUAAUGGUGGGAACUCAAAGGAGACUGCCGGUGAUAAACCGGAGGAAGGUGGGGAUGACGUCAAGUCAUCAUGGCCCUUACGAGUAGGGCUACACACGUGCUACAAUGGCGCAUACAAAGAGAAGCGACCUCGCGAGAGCAAGCGGACCUCAUAAAGUGCGUCGUAGUCCGGAUUGGAGUCUGCAACUCGACUCCAUGAAGUCGGAAUCGCUAGUAAUCGUAAAUCAGAAUGUUACGGUGAAUACGUUCCCGGGCCUUGUACACACCGCCCGUCACACCAUGGGAGUGGGUUGCAAAAGAAGUAGAUAGCUUAACCUUCGGGAGGGCGUUUACCACUUUGUGAUUCAUGACUGGGGUGAAGUCGUAACAAGGUAACCGUAGGGGAACCUGCGGCUGGAUCACCUCCUU